CAGUAGCCGCGGUAAUACGAAGGGUGCAAGCGUUAAUCGGAAUUACUGGGCGUAAAGCGUGCGCAGGCGGUUUGUUAAGACAGAUGUGAAAUCCCCGGGCUCAACCUGGGAACUGCAUUUGUGACUGGCAAGCUAGAGUGUGGCAGAGGGGGGUGGAAUUCCGCGUGUAGCAGUGAAAUGCGUAGAUAUGCGGAGGAACACCGAUGGCGAAGGCAGCCCCCUGGGCCAACACUGACGCUCAUGCACGAAAGCGUGGGGAGCAAACAGGAUUAGAUACCCCGGUAGUCCCUGUCUCUUAUAC
rnacentral:rRNA from 1 species